rnacentral:rRNA from 1 species
AUACGUAGGGGGCAAGCGUUGUCCGGAUUCAUUGGGCGUAAAGAGCUCGUAGGCGGUUCAGUAAGUCGGGUGUGAAAGCUCCAAGCUCAACUUGGAGACGCCAUCCGAUACUGCUGUGACUUGAGUACAGUAGGGGAGCGUGGAAUUCCUGGUGUAGCGGUGAAAUGCGCAGAUAUCAGGAGGAACACCAGCGGCGAAGGCGGCGCUCUGGGCUGUAACUGACGCUGAGGAGCGAAAGUGUGGGUAGCAAACAGGAUUAGAUACCCUGGUAGUCCACACCGUAAACGUUGGGCACUAGGUGUGGGGAGGAAUCAACCCUCUCCGUGCCGUAGCUAACGCAUUAAGUGCCCCGCCUGGGGAGUACGGUCACAAGACUAAA